CUACGGGCCGCAGCAGUGAGGAAUAUUGCACAAUGGGGGGAACCCUGAUGCAGCAACGCCGCGUGGAGGAUGACGCAUUUCGGUGUGUAAACUCCUUUUAUAUGUCAAGAAAAUGACGGUAGCAUAUGAAUAAGCACCGACUAACUCCGUGCCAGCAGCCGCGGUAAUACAGAGGGUGCAAGCGUUACUCGGAAUCACUGGGCGUAAAGGACGCGUAGGCGGGUUGGAAAGUCAGGUGUGAAAUCCUACAGCUUAACUGUAGAACUGCACUUGAAACUUCUAAUCUAGAGUAUGGGAGGGGGAGAUGGAAUUAGUGGUGUAGGGGUAAAAUCCGUAGAUAUCACUAGGAGUACCUAAAGCGAAGGCGAUCUCCUGGAACAUUACUGACGCUAAGGCGUGAAAGCGUGGGGAGCAAACAGGAUUAGAUACCCCGGUAGUC
rnacentral:rRNA from 1 species